rnacentral:rRNA from 1 species
GUGAACGCUGGCGGUAGGCCUAACACAUGCAAGUCGAACGGCAGCACAGUAAGAGCUUGCUCUUACGGGUGGCGAGUGGCGGACGGGUGAGGAAUACAUCGGAAUCUACUUUUUCGUGGGGGAUAACGUAGGGAAACUUACGCUAAUACCGCAUACGACCUACGGGUGAAAGCAGGGGAUCUUCGGACCUUGCGCGAUUGAAUGAGCCGAUGUCGGAUUAGCUAGUUGGCGGGGUAAAGGCCCACCAAGGCGACGAUCCGUAGCUGGUCGGAGAGGAUGAUCAGCCACACUGGAACUGAGACACGGUCCAGACUCCUACGGGAGGCAGCAGUGUGGAAUAUUGGACAAAGGGCGCAAGCCUGAUCCAGCCAUACCGCGUGGGUGAAGAAGGCCUUCGGGUUGUAAAGCCCUUUUGUUGGGAAAGAAAAGCAGCAGGUUAAUACCCCGCUGUUCUGACGGUACCCAAAGAAUAAGCACCGGCUAACUUCGUG